UCACCUGCUGCAGUUACAGAACAAGA
rnacentral:piRNA from 1 species